CCUACGGGAGGCAGCAGUGAGGAAUAUUGGUCAAUGGGCGCGAGCCUGAACCAGCCAAGUAGCGUGAAGGAUGACUGCCCUACGGGUUGUAAACUUCUUGUAUAAAGGAAUAAAGUGAGGCACGUGUGCCGUUUUGUAUGUACGUUAUGAAUAAGGAUCGGCUAACUCCGUGCCAGCAGCCGCGGUAAUACGGAGGAUCCGAGCGUUAUCCGGAUUUAGGGGGUUUACAGGGAGCGUAGAGGGGUUUUUAAGUCAGUUGUGAAAGUUUGCGGCUCAACCGUAAAAUUGUAAUUGAUACUGGCAGUCUUGCGUACAGUUGCGGUAGGCGGACUUCGUGUUGUAGCGG
rnacentral:rRNA from 1 species